CCUACGGGCGGCUGCAGUGGGGAAUAUUGGACAAUGGGCGAAAGCCUGAUCCAGCCAUGCCGCGUGUGUGAAGAAGGCCUUCGGGUUGUAAAGCACUUUCAGUGGGGAAGAAAGCCUUGGGGCUAAUACCCUCGAGGAAGGACAUCACCCACAGAAGAAGCACCGGCUAACUCCGUGCCAGCAGCCGCGGUAAUACGGAGGGUGCGAGCGUUAAUCGGAAUUACUGGGCGUAAAGCGCGCGUAGGCGGUCUGAUAAGCCGGUUGUGAAAGCCCCGGGCUCAACCUGGGAACGGCAUCCGGAACUGUCAGGCUAGAGUGCAGGAGAGGAAGGUAGAAUUCCCGGUGCAGCGGUGAAAUGCGUAGAGAUCGGGAGGAAUACCAGUGGCGAAGGCGGCCUUCUGGACUGACACUGACGCUGAGGUGCGAAAGCGUGGGUAGCAAACAGGAUUAGAUACCCGUGUAUUC
rnacentral:rRNA from 1 species